rnacentral:rRNA from 1 species
UACGUAGGGUGCGAGCGUUAAUCGGAAUUACUGGGCGUAAAGCGUGCGCAGGCGGUUACUUAAGUCAGGUGUGAAAAGCCCUGGGCUUAACCUAGGAAUUGCGCUUGAGACUGGGUAGCUUGGAGUGUGGCAGAGGGAGGUGGAAUUCCACUGUAGCAGUGAAAUGCGUAGAGAUGUGGAGGAACACCGAUGGCGAAGGCAGCCUCCUGGGCCAGCACUGACGCUCAUGCACGAAAGCGUGGGGAGCGAACAGG